rnacentral:rRNA from 1 species
UGGGGAAUAUUGCACAAUGGGGGAAACCCUGAUGCAGCCAUGCCGCGUGUGUGAAGAAGGCCUUCGGGUUGUAAAGCACUUUCAGCGAGGAGGAAAGGUGGUUGGCUAAUACCCAAUCGCUGUGACGUUACUCGCAGAAGAAGCACCGGCUAACUCCGUGCCAGCAGCCGCGGUAAUACGGAGGGUGCAAGCGUUAAUCGGAAUUACUGGGCGUAAAGCGCACGCAGGCGGUUGGAUAAGUUAGAUGUGAAAGCCCCGGGCUCAACCUGGGAAUUGCAUUUAAAACUGUCCAGCUAGAGUCUUGUAGAGGGGGGUAGAAUUCCAGGUGUAGCGGUGAAAUGCGUAGAGAUCUGGAGGAAUACCGGUGGCGAAGGCGGCCCCCUGGACAAAGACUGACGCUCAGGUGCGAAAGCGUGGGGAGCAAACA